GAACUAUUUUUUCUUGUUUUGAAAACGAGAUUUAAGAUUAUUUCUUGUAGUUUU
rnacentral:tRNA from 1 species